CCGCCCCGGCGAGUGCCGCUCGGGCUAGUGGCGUUAGGAACGGGGGCCGCUGGAAUGGCGUCCAUUUACAUAAUGCUUUGUUUGCACUUGGUCGGCUCCGGUUAGGGAAGCCCUCGGAGGCGCUACCUCCUGCCCUCGUGUUUUAUGUCCCACGAUAGUUCCCGAGACCUUAGAGGAGCGGUGCGCACUGACGGCGUCCCGGCAUGGCCCCCCGCAUGUCCGCGCUGGCUCGCCCGCCGCCUGGACCACGCUUUCGGGAGGCGGCCAAGCCUGGGCGCCGCCGCCAUCUUGGGAGGUCGCCCUGACCGAGGCCUCCCGCCGGGAAAUGGCCCUCGAGACGCUGGAGAGCGCCUUGUGCUUUCUUUGCCGGCUCCUCGUGCCGCCGCCAUAGUCAGCCUGGAGGAGGUCGUGUGAAGGAACGUGUUGUUUAAUACUUGGCCGAAAGGACCAGCGUGGCGUUCCUCACCCCACCGCCACCCCACCCCCGAGCGGGGAGGGCUGGCGGCCAUGUUUCCCAACAAAAUGGCGACACGUGUCGCCAUCGAAAAAUUGGGCCGGAGCAAGACAAUCCCAGAGAGAUGAAGUGAAUGACCCAAGGUUACACAGGAUGGAACCUAUAUCUUCUGAUUUCUCUACUGGCCUGCACUCCACGUUCUGAGGAGGAGUCCUUGAAGCUACUGAGAUAAUGGAACAAUGGAGUAGAUAGUCCAUUAUAACUCAUCUGGGAUUCUUCUCAACUUCAAGUGACCACAGAAAAAGCAGCUAACAUGUGUCCGGACAGCUGGGGGAGACUCGGGCCUCUGAGGCACAGCAAGGACAAAGCCUGAGACAUUAUCAACACGAAGAAGUAUGAGAUGAGACAGAAGUGUCCCGUGAUGAGACAGAAGUGUCCUGGAGGAAAGAGAUCAAAAGCGAGGAGGAGCUUGGGGGCCCAGAAGCGCGGGCAGGAUCAGAUUUCUCCUGUGUCCGUCCAUGGCUGGAUCGGUGGAGAUUGCGUGGAGAUGUUUGCAGCUCAUCCAGAGCACGUUUAAUCUAUAUUUAGAAAACAACCAAAAGGAAUUUAAAAGUUGAGCCUGUGACUAAAAUUUUUAGCCCGUGACUAUGAUAAUUUUUUUUAAAAAGGUUUAGUAGCUAGUGGUAAUUAUAACUGCUACCAAGGCCUAAUAACUUAUCAGUUCAACUUUGAACUCUGAAGUCUUAGUGUUGUGUGUGGUCUAUAAAUCUCAUUUUUCACAUGCCUUAAAUCACUUCCUCAGAACUUUACAACUUAGGUUCACACACCUUAAAUUAUGUCCUUAGACCUUUACAAGUUACAUACAUUUUUUUAAAGAUUUAUUUAUUGUUAUAUGUAAGUACACUAUAGCUGUCCUCAGACACACCAGGAGAGAGCGUCAGAUCUCAUUAUGGAUGGUUGUGAGCCACCAUGUGGUUGCUGGGAUUUGAACUCAGGCCCUCUGGAAGAGCAGUCAGUGCUCUUAACCGCUGAGCCAUCUCACCAGCCCAAGUCGCAUACACUUUAAACUUCUUUUUUAAUCUGGAAAUAUCUGAUCAUUUCCAUGAGACAGAAGAGCUAGAUUACUGGGCGCAGUCACUGGAGGGCAACUUCUUUUAGAUAAAGGGACAGUGACAAAGCUGUGGUCAGCAGCAACAGCAGCAGCAGGAUAGCUUCAGUUGGCUUUUACACUGAAACCUGUUUUGUCAGUUUCUCUUUUUCUGCAAGAGGCUUGUUACUCUAGGAAAACCACACCUGGCCUUUACAUGUGAAACUAAUUCAGGCUGGCUGCUAAUUGAGUUUCAGUUUUAAAACCCUUAUUUUUUUUUUAAAUUUAAUUAAAAUAUUUUAUUCAUUUAUUUUGUCAGUAUCAGAGGACAAUUUGCAGAAAUGGGUUCUCUCCUUCCACCAUGUGGACCCUGGGCUUGGUCACUGGGCUUGGUGGCAGGCUCCUUUAUACCAGGUGAGCCACUUCUCUGGCUCCUAAAGCCCUUUUUAUUAAAGAGACUUAGGUAACUAAA
ensembl:antisense 1600020E01Rik RIKEN cDNA 1600020E01 gene